UAAUGGAGAAAUAAUGUCUCAAAAGGGAAACUGUUUUCAGCUGGAACUAUGGCUUGAAAAACCAGAUGGUUAUAUGCAAAAACUGAAAACUCAACAAGUCAACUGUCCAGGCACUUUCCUGCUUCUCACCAUCUGGCCACCUGUUGUGGAGUUCAUCUUAUUUUGGGAAUGAUUCCACCUGAUCUAGGGCUGACUUUAUAAUUGAGAAAGGAGUUUUGUCAUUGAGAAAGGAGUCACAGGAAGGAAUCAAGGAAGAGAAAAGACUUGUUCCAUCCUGUUUGUUUGCAGUCCUCAAAUGUUUGCCACAUAAAUUGCCCUUCAUCCAGUGCUCAAAUUUGCCAUCACCAAUAUGGGCAGCCUGACAUGAAUACUGUACAGCAGGAAUUAAGCAGCAUCAGCAAUGCAGUAUCUUUGCAGAAAUUAUUGACCAGAAUAUAGAAAAAAGAAAAUUUAAUUCCCAAAACAAGACACUCUAAGAUACUCUUCAAGGAGCUAAUACCCUUUACCUCUGAGAGGUGAAUGGUGAAGUAUUUUGGAGUGUGAGGUUCUGAUGUCUGCAGUGAUCUGCCAGAAGGAAAGAUAUAGACCAGUGAAAGAAGUUUGGCAAGG